UACUCCCUCCCUCCGUUUUAAAAUUCUUGUCUUAUAUUUGUCUAGAAAUAAAUGUAUCUAAAUACUAAAACGUGACUAGAUAUAUUUAUAUCUAGACAAACCUAAGACAAGAAUUUUGGUACGGAGGGAGUACAAU
rnacentral:pre_miRNA from 1 species